rnacentral:rRNA from 3 species
GGCUACUACAUCCAAGGAAGGCAGCAGGCGCGCAAAUUACCCAAUCCCGACGCGGGGAGGUAGUGACAAUAAAUACUGAUACAGGGCUCUUUUGGGUCUUGUAAUUGGAAUGAGUACAAUUUAAUUCCCUUAACGAGGAACAAUUGGAGGGCAAGUCUGGUGCCAGCAGCCGCGGUAAUUCCAGCUCCAAUAGCGUAUAUUAAAGUUGUUGCAGUUAAAAAGCUCGUAGUUGAACCUUGGGCCUGGCUGGCCGGUCCGCCUCACCGCGUGCACUGGUCCGGCCGGGCCUUUCCCUCUGGGGAGCCGCAUGCCCUUCACUGGGCGUGUCGGGGAACCAGGACUUUUACUUUGAAAAAAUUAGAGUGUUCAAAGCAGGCUUAUGCUCGGAUACAUUAGCAUGGAAUAAUAGAAUAGGACGUGCGGUUCUAUUUUGUUGGUUUCUAGGACCGCCGUAAUGAUUAAUAGGGACAGUCGGGGGCAUCAGU